rnacentral:rRNA from 1 species
CCUACGGGUGGCAGCAGUGGGGAAUAUUGGACAAUGGGGGGAACCCUGAUCCAGCGACGCCGCGUGAGUGAAGACGUAUUUCGGUAUGUAAACUUCUAUCAGCAGGGAAGAAAAUGACGGUACCCGACAAAGAAGCCCCGGCUAACUACGUGCCAGCAGCCGCGGUAAUACGUAGGGGGCAAGCGUUAUCCGGAUUUACUGGGUGUAAAGGGAGCGUAGGCGGGGAAGCAAGUCAGAAGGGAAAACCAGGGGCUCAACUCCGGGGCUGCGUUUGAAACUGUUGAACUAGAUUGCAGGAGAGGUAGGUGGAAUUCCUAGUGUAGCGGUGAAAUGCGUAGAUAUUAGGAGGAACACCAGUGGCGAAGGCGGCUUGCUGGACUGUAAAUGACGCUGAGGCUCGAAAGCGUGGGGAGCAAACAGGAUUAGAUACCCCUGUAGUC